rnacentral:rRNA from 1 species
CACGUAGGUGGCAAGCGUUAUCCGGAAUUACUGGGCGUAAAGGGUCCGCAGGUGGGGCGGGAAGUCUGGUGUGACAGUGCAUGGCUCAACUGUGCGUAGCCACUGGAAACUCCCACUCUUGAGUCACGGAGAGGGGUGCGGAAUUCCGGGUGUAGUGGUGGAAUGCGUAGAGAUCCGGAAGAACACCGGAGGCGAAGGCGGCUUGCUGGGCGUGAUCUGACGCUGAGGCGCGAAAGCGUGGGGAGCAAACAGG